GCGCAGCCGCAUGGAGGAGGAGGAGGGGGGCGGUGGCGGGCGCCAUGUUGGUGGCGUGGGGUGAUGGCGGUGCGGGAGGGGAGCAGGACUAAGAUGUCGGAAAGGGGGCGUUUGGUGCCUCCUGAGCAGGGGGAGGCUCCGCGAGCCCUCGGCGGCGGGGCCCUGAGGAGCGACGCCCGCUGAGGGCCUAACCAGCUGACCAGUUCCGGGUGUUGUCUUGGGUUCGGCAUACCCGCUGCCUGGCUUGGAGGAGGUCAGCUAGAUUUUGAGAAAUGGCUGUAGAAUUCCGCUUGUGUUGUUCUGUGUCAGGGAAUGGGAAAUCAACCAUUUGUCAAAUGAGAGGUUCAUCGCUGGUAAGGGGACUGGAGUUCUCUUGUUAUUGCUGAAAUAAUUUUUUCUCAAAACUGGGAGGAAAGGCAAUGAUGUAUUGCAUGGUUUGUGAAAUAAUAUGGUUUUUAAUUACAGCUGAUUCCUGUGAAAUAAAGUACUUUAUUACUUCAAGAGGACACUCUGUUGAAAGGAGUUGAAGAAUUUUGUAGGCUCCCUGCAAGUGUCGGCCUAAGUCCAAUAAUGGUGUAGGUCAGGAAAAAGGAUUUACAAGGUUUUAUUUCUAAAAUACUUUGGCUCCUCCUGGAGGUAAGUACAAUGCAUUUGCUCAGGGUAAUACCUCACAGUAACUACACAGGUAUGGAAGUUGUUUGCCCUAGGGUACAUCCAGAUGGUGGAGGAAGGGUGUCAUGUGAUGUUAAUUCCUAACCACAUCAUUAAACCUAGAAGUUGGAGUCUUUCAAGAUUUGUUGAUACUACGGCAAUGCGUGCUGUUCUUCCAUCUCUUUAAAUCCAUGUCCAUCUAGUUAAAGAAUCUGAACUAAUUCCUGGCUUUUCCCAUCCUCCUGUGAAAGACCAGGUGUCUUUGGAGGUUUGCCUUACAUAGGUUCUCCCUACGCCAGCUUACCCAUUUUGCUGUCUUCAUCACUGAAGGAAAGGAGAAUAUAAUGCUGUUGGCGCUAUAACUUUCAGUAAUAGUUGUAUACAUCUGAAGAAUCCUGAAUUACAAGCAUACCCCCCCCCUUUCUCUUCCUUCUGUGUGCAGAUAUGGCAGUUGUGCCAUGGGAAAAAAAAAAAACAGGCAGUGGCAUGAUGACAUGUCACAACAGUUGCUCUCUUUAAACUUUAAGCCUAUGCUUUUAUCUGUGCAGCUGAUACCAAGUAAUGAUGGUAAGUAUUGCGAUGGGAUAACUGUCUUCUCUAUAACUGGCAGAAAACAUGGAUGUGAAAUCCUCAUCCAAGGUUCAAAUAUAUACUUUUAAACUGGUUUAGAAACAAUACCACUGGCAAUGAUGCUUCUCUUUCUGUCCUUCCCCUUUGAUGCAAUGCUGCUGCUCAGGGUAGAAGGCGAGGAUGCAUCCUGCUUUACAAAUAAAAUUACUUCACUGCUUUACUGUGCUCCCAUAUCUGAAGGUGCUGCAGAUGUCUCAGCUAAGAGUUGCUUUAGCAGAUUGAAAUGUAGAAAUAAAGAAUUAAUGUAAGAAAGUAUCCAAAUGAAUACCUAAUGCAGCAGACAAGUAAAAUACUGCCCUGUGUUGUAUGGUUCAUUUUCAUGACUGGGAUUGUCUGAUACUUGUCACUGGAUUUUACUGAUCGCAACUUGCAAGAGUUUUUAAUUGUAAAACCUUUGUUGUCUCAAACUUACUCUUUUUACAGUGUUUGCUUGAAAAUGCUAAUGUCGGCUUACUCAACAAUUCUUCUGACUCAACAGGUCCUAAUUGCAAGAUCUGCAACAAGCUUAUAGCCCUUAUAGCCAUGUUGUGGAAAUAAGUGUUGUCUCUGUUAUCUUAGUGUUUUGUAUGAGAAGAGUUAAGGUGACAAUAGAAUCGAAGGCUGGCCUUUGCCUUUCCUUAAAUACAUGGGUAUACUCUGGUUUAAUAGUUUAUGAAAGCUUGUUCAAGUCUCUGCAAGGUGCUGAGCCUGCUAAGCUGCCAUGAUUGUUUAUACUUCAGCUGUUGCGUCAAAAUCCUACACGGUAGGAACUACAACUCCCUUGUUACAAAAAUGCUUUUGGUCACAGUGAACUCAGGUAAGCAACUACUCAGUGCCCUGAAAAUAUGGAAAAGCAGUUGGAAGUUCUGGAGGAGGGGUAGAGAAGACAAGGAUAAGUAGGAAUGUGAGAUGCCUGUUUGCUGUUUUGCUUAAAGAAGAAAUUAAUGCAUUUUCGUACAUAGAAACUUCAUAUCUCAGCUUUCAUUCUGAAAAGUUCUUUCUCUUUAUUAAAACCUAAUGGAUUUGCAUUCUAUAAAUGCAACUUUCCCUGGAUGAUAUGCAAAAAAAAAAAAAGUCUACAGUCUUAUGAGAAACACAUUUACAAGAUGAAGUGUGAAAAUGUUGCAGGAUAACUUUCAAGGUGUCAACAUCCAGGUCAGCACAGCAGGGAGAAAUGUUAAGAAGUGGGGCUUUUCUCAGUUCUUGUGUUGGUCCUAUAUAACUUCCAGCCAUCAAUCCUGCUGGGUGGAAACAUUUUCAAGUGCACUCAAACAGGAAAUGGAGGAUGGUUUCUAAAGGUAACUGAUAAAAUCUGUACUAGUCUUGGCACAUAAAUUAGUGUGUUUUUUUUUUUUAAAUCCAUUUUCUUACUAUUCCAGCUACAAAACGUAGUUGUCCACAGUCCCCCUGGGGGAAGGGGAUAAGCUGAAGAGUCACAGCCAGACUAGCUUUAGAGCUUAUGAAGGAAGGGGGUAAAGACUUUCACAUUAAAAUUACUGCUCUGAUUUUGGGGUUUAAGAAGUUGCUGUGAGUUUUCUUGUUUGUAAUGGUCUCCAACAGAGCUGCUGCCUGAAGAGUUAACAGCUGCAGGAUGAGAGAGUGAAUUGAGCUGGGCAUAGCAGGUAAAAACUGCUAUAUGGUGUUACUGUUUUCAAGAAUCUUAAUGGUAAUUCAGCAAAAUGAUCUUAAAUACAUUAUUUAUUCUACUUUGUUCUUAAACAGAACUUGGAAAGGCACGGGUAGGAGCAGAAGGGUUGUGUACCUUAAGUGUUCAUAAAUUAUGGGGACACAGUUAAAUGUCUGGGACACCCUAGAAUUCCUGUAUUAACUUUUUUAUUUUUCAGUGCAAGAAGAGUGCUUUGAGAGCAGUUGAGAACCUCUUCAGGUAUCGUGAACAUGUUCUCCAACUGAAACGUGGCAGCAGUUCAAUGGCAGUUACACAACAGGAGGGGGUUUGCAGAGUACUGCAAGUCCUGGGAUUCAUAGGAACUCGUUUUAAUAGAGAGAAGACCUCGGGUUCCUCCAGAACUUUUAACUCCCAUGAAUGUAAAUGAGGUCUCAUCUGCUGUACUGAAGGGGAAAUUUUCUCCUGUUGACACUGGACAGGAGGAUUAGAAUAGGGGACUUCAUAGGUGCUAGGCAGAGCACUGCCUUUGAAAAACUGCAGGCAGUCCAAGUACAGGAGAUUCCAGUUGUGGGAAAAUCCCCUUUGGGAAGGCACACUAACAACGGGGAGAACUUGGUAAACAAAGGAAACACAAGUUGAGUGUGCUGCUUCUCAGCUGCGUGCAGGCAUUUCUCUUCAGGUGGAAUGGCUUAAGGUGUCGUUUGAAGACCACAGAAUUAUUGCCAGACCACAUUCCUAUUUCUCUUGAGAUCAUAAAUGCACUUGUAUGGUCCAGAGUCACCCACGUAGCUUUAGUCUCGGUCAAGUGAGAGAAUAUUUAUUGAUUUAAAAAUAAGAGUACUUCUUGGUCCCCUUAAGUCCUGCAGAGCUAUUGGAGCAGUGCACUGAAGGUAAGCUUUCCCCACCCACGUGCUGCAAGAGACUGGCACACCGAGCUCGCUCAGGUGGGGUCCUGGGCUGAACAUAAAGCCUUUGGUCGGCUGUGAUCUAGCCGUCACGUACCCAACAAGCACACCUCAGCAGUUCCACGUGGAACAAGAAAGUUAACGCUGGGGCUGCACUGGUUCAGAUGUGUUCUGUGUGUGCACCGUGCUCGUUGGCACAACGCUUGAUUACACACUGUGUUUCAUAAAGCACACAGGGUAUCAUGCCGAGGUUACACUGAGUACAGACUCUGCUCUCUUGCCAGUAAUCCUGGGAAGGUCUAUUUUUGUCGUGUAGUGGUAAACCUGGGUUUGUAAAUGAUACUGGCUCACUCAGGAGCUGACAAAUCCUUAAGCAUGGUACUCGUUUUCAGUCAUAAAAAAAAAAAUGAAAGGUAGGUAUGAGUGGGGUAGGCAGGGAUUUUUUUUCUGAUGGGUGACAAAUUACCAAAUUUAAAAGCUGACUAAAAAUAUCUCUUUGGGAAAAUAUGAAUGCUAUGAUUAAGGCAAUGUGACCCAUCAGUUAUGGUCAUUUUCCAGCACAGUUCCUCGUCCUUGGUUGUGUGUAGUUUUUUCUUUUGUGGUUUGCAGGAAAAAGCACGUUGGACAUAGGGAGACUGUGAAAGCUAUAACCGUAGGUAAAAAUGUCACAGCUGCUUUUUUGUUAAAUCAUGCACCAUUUAUUUCCUAAGAAAGUCCUGCAACUAAAUUGACAAUGCUGGAGUCCCAGGUUAUGUGUGUGUUCCCACUUCUUUGGCUACUUAGAUGCAGCGGCACAAAAUUACACCAUGCUUUCUACAUGAUUCAGUUUAAAAUACAAGCUUUUGCAGUGUGAGUACAUAUGCAGCAGUACCGUUGGAGCAUUUCUUAACAUGCACAAGCUGUUUCCAUGUCGGUAAGUAACACUGCACUCUGAAAAAGCACCCAGCUGCAGGGAGGGUGCCAUUUGAUAGUGUCUCCUGUGCUGGAAUUCCCUGGUUUUACUCCCCUUGCCUUGGACUCUGGUGUUUUCCUGAACUUUUUCUGUACGUUCACGCUCUAUCAUGUACCUGAUUAUUUUUUGUUUGUUUUUGCCAUUUCUCUGCAUAUACCUCUUCCUGGAAAACGGGGAACAACAGUACAUACCUCAGGUUCCUGGCCAAGUUUCCAUUUGCAUGGUUUCACUUGCUCCAUUCUGUCAAGUUAUGUGUCCUAAGGAUAUAAUUUAGUGGACUGCUGGUAAGAAGCUAACCUUUACAUCUUGGCCCCAGCCCACGUAGGUCAGGUUUAUACAAGCCUGCUUCCUUACGAUGAAUCCGGUGGAUACUCUUUUACAGCCUUUGGUUUCCUGUUGCACUGCUUUAUGGCAAAAUAACGUUAUGCUGCUCUUGCAGACCCCUAAAAAGGGGUAAUGCUAGGGGUGAUUGCUUUAUACCUGCAGAGUUGCACAGCCCAGAAUCUUCUGAACCUUGCUCUUCUAUUUACACAAGACCUGAGGCUCUCAAGUGUCAUAACUGGUCAGAUUCUGGGUCCGUCUGUACCAGGGUGGUUUUGUAUCCGGCAAAUCCUUUUGGGGCAUGCAUUCCCAGCAGGUGCAUAAUCCGAGCUUUGCAUUCUCAGAAAAUGUAGAUGUGUGAUGUGGGCUUGGUGGCACGGCUCAUUUAAGGAGCUUGCUGUUAUCUUUCGCCCCUUGCACUCCUGUGCCACGGUACACAGUUCCCUGGCAUGCCAACGCUGCCAUCUGCAGUGGCACAGAGAUUAGUCAGGGUGUUAUGUGCCCUGCCCUGUGUGCUUCUCUUUGGCCCGGGGUGGAAGCAGGAGGGGUUUGUAGUUGUGUGGCUUUUUUUUUUUUAAAACCUGGAUCAGGUCAGUGAGGUGGUUGAGAACACUUGAAACAGGGCAGUAAAAAUCAGCAAUCAGGUGCACAGAAGAAGUCGGCCUUUGGCUGGUUGCUGAAGCUUCUGUCUCAUUAAACCAUGCACCGAAGGAUGCAGUUUGUUUUGUAGGGGAGGAGCAGCAGCAUGUCCCUUGUGUAUGAUUGCUAUUGUUAACUGUGUUUUUUCUGCUUUAGGUCCCUGAUACAGGACGCAGCCAAAUGCUUUGCUGCAUGUAGCCUUCUGACUAGGGAGUGGCAGCUUGAGAAACCCCGAUGCCUGUAGGCAGUAAAAUCAUAGGGGAAAAGAUUUAGAGUUGUGGAGGAGUUUUCCUAAAGCGUUGUCUUUUAUAACUGCUCUGGAGAGUACUAACUCGUUACCUUAUAAUGUAAGUAAUCUCUCACAGUUAAGGAGUUCUGUCACCCCUGCACACCUGUCCAAAUACACCUUUUAUAUUUAAUGACAGAGUAGAGCUACACAAAGAAUUAAGUACUGAAAUGAUUCACAUGAUAGAUGUUUUUCAUGUCAAUAUUUUCCAGUGGUCCUGAUAAAAGGGAAUCAGUUUCAUUGCGGUGGACUUCCUUACUAUGUAAAUAUGGUUUACUGCCUCUGCUUUGGUAAUGGUGAAUCUUGUCCUCUGGUGAGCUUGUCUCUCAAAGAAUGAGCCUGGUGAGGAUGAUGCAGUGGCAGCCAUUUCAGAAUGAAAUGUGCAGUGAUUUCACUGUUACGGUUCUGCUUUAGUCAAUGUCAGCUAAAAUAGUAAUUGCAUCCCCAAAGAGAUUAUUGCUGCUGUUAAACUUUCUGGAAAAACAAAUAGGUAGAGGCAGAUGCAGUCCUCAUGUGAAUUGGCAGGAGGGUGUUGCACAGCCAAGUGGGUACUGCAUCUCACGUGAGAUGAAGGACAGCAUGUGCUUUAUGAGUCCAUGGCAGUGAAGUCCAUUGACCUUCCUGCAAAUUCCUGCCUGCUGAAAAGCCCCUCUUGCCUCUUGGGUUUGUGAGUGAACCAACUACUGGCCUAAUGCUACCUGCUGGAAACAAGUGGGUGAGGAAAGGGAGUUGAUUUAGUAGGUACUCUGGUCCAAUGAAAAUAAAUUUUGUUUACUCAGUUUAUAAAUAUUACUUAUUUAUAAAAUCAAUACAUCAUAUUGUAAAUAUUCAUAAAUGUGGACAUAUAAUAUAUGUGUAUGUAUUUGUAUAAUAUAUAUCACCCAUAUUUAUAGGUAUAUAAGAUUGCAGUUUAUAUGUAUAUAAAUCGAUAAGCCAGGGGAAUCAAGGAAAAAUAGAGAAGCGUGUUGCUGAUGGGAUCCUGGGAUGGAGCAGCUGUUCCUUGUUGAGAACAAGUCAAAGGUGACAGUCUGGUCCCAGAUAAGUAUGGUUUGUGCAUAUUAUCUUGUUUUGUUAAAUUUUCUAAUUAUUUCUGUCUUUCCAGCUCUCAUCCUUGAGCAGGUUCUUUGGCUGUGGGUUAGCCUUGUCAGGAAUAUCAAGGCAUGUGACACGCUUGGCCACAGAAGUCGGUGCGUGUGGGGUCUCUCACAAGUUCCUGUCAACACUUCAGCAUUGCAGCUCUCCAGAAUGGAUAACGUUGCUGCCAUUCAUUCUGAGUGGCAUCGUGGCCUCAUUUACAUAGGUUUUACGCUAUCUCAGUUAUCUCAACCUUUUGCUACAGUCAGUUCUUCAUUAUCUGAAGGUAAAUUUAGGUACAAGUCAUGACAGGCAAGGUCCUUGGCUUGGAAUAUGCCUGCCUUCCUGUAGCACUCAGUCACGCUCUGGUAUGGGUGGAUUUUCCUCUUAGGUACAGUCAAUUUGCCAGUCUUAUUCCUCCCAAAGCCAUUGUGCAGUUGAAUUUUCCAUCUUUUCCAGUUCUUUACCUGCACAACCUCCAGGUAGUGUGUACCGCUGGGGCACGAUGGGAUGGCUACCCCAGGCUUCCCCAUUACUGCUCAAAAGUCAGGCAGUGAUAUAAAUACACGGUGUUAUUUUGCUCGUGCCCACCAACCAUGAAUGGCUUUUUCAUUUGUCACCACUUUCUUUCUAAAUAACACCCAGGUUAUCCAAACUGUGUUCUCCCUGCCAUACGCAGCACCACACACUGUAUUUGCUCUGUAGGUUAUGCCCUGGUGGGCCUGAGAAGCCACCACAUAAUUUCACAUUUGUUCAGCCAUGUGGAGCUGGUAACGCUGGUGGCUACAGAAUUUCAGCUAUUGCAUCCCAUCAUUAGAAGAAAGGAGGGGAAAAAAAAAUGAAGAAAUGACCCCUCCUCUUCCUCUUGUCUCUUGGGAUGCCCUGAACGGCUCCAGAGCUGGUGCAGGAGGUUGUGAGCAGCUGCUGCCCUCUGUCCUGUUGUCCCCUGCCCUGGGUGAUGGGACAGCAGCACCCUAUGGUGAGGGGGCACCACUCUCACAAGCUGCUGCCUUCUCUGUUUGAGCAGGCAUGGUGCUUCUGUCCCUUUCUGUUCCUAGGUCUUCUGUGUCCCCCUUCCUGAAGCUCAUUUCCUUUUUUGUUUGAAAACAGCUCUUCUAAGGAAUAUGACCCUUCUUAGCACAAGCUGUCCUUAGGUACAGGAGGGCCUGGAUGUGUCUUGGCACGCCACCAGAUGACUUUACUCAUGGCUGACUGAAGAAAUCUGCUCUUCCAUAUAUAGUUUGUAACAGAGGGGACACGAAUGUGGACAAAAUCUAUGAAAAACCUUUGUAGAGACUGAUUAGCUUGCAAGAUGAAGAUGGGCCUACCCUUUUUCAAAGGGUGCUUGAGAGAAAGUGUUAGGUGGGGGGGGAGAAACUUUUGACCUAUUUAUACUUUCUAGUAAAUGUUUGAGCUAAAUAACAGCUAGAGCAGCCCUGCAUAUUGUGUGCAGUAAUCAAUUACAGCAAGGGGUGGAUGCAGCUGCAAUGGGAGGGAAUCAGAGGUGUUUUGAAGUUGAAGAGGCUGCUCUAGCAGCUGGGCUGUUGUACUUGUGGGCCUCCAGCAGAGGGGGGCUCUAAUAGUGCUUAGGCAUUGCUUUGGUGUUUGCUUUUACAGAAUCACAGAAUGGCUUGGGCUGGAAGGGACAUAAAGGAUCAUCUUGUUCCAAUCCCCCUGCUAUAGGCAGGGACGCCACCCACUAGAUCAGGUUGCCCCAGGCCAUGUCCAACCUGGCCUUGAACACCUCCAGGGAUGGGGCAUCCACAACCUCUCUGGGCAACCUGUGCCAGUGCCUCACCACCCUAUGAGUGUUUCCUCAUUGUCUACUUCGCUUUUCCAUUGUUAUCAUAGAAUCAUCUAAGUUGGAAAAGAUCUUCAAGAUCACCAAGUCCAACCAUCAGCCUGACCUACUGAGUCCCAUCACUAAACCACAUCCCUUAGUGCCACAUCCACACGUUUCUUAAAUACCUACAGGCAUGGGGAUUCUACCACUUCCCUGGGAGUUCCAAUGCUCAACCACCCUCUCUGUGAAGAAAUCUUCCCUAAUGUCCAAUCUAAGCCUCACCUUGAAACCUUUUAAUUGCAUCCUAUCACUUGACACCUAAGGAAAGAGACCAACACCCUCUCUGCAGCCACCUUUCAAGUAGUUGUAUAGAGUGAUGAGGUCUCCCCUCAGCAUCUUCUCCAGAUUAAACAGCCGCAGUUUCCCCAGCUGCUCCUCAUAACUCUUAUUUUCCAGUCCCUUCACCAGUUUCAUUGCUCUCUCUGCACAUGCUUAAGCCUCUGCACAUGCUUAAGCCGCUCCACAUCCUUGUAGUGCAGGCCCAAAUCUGAGCACAAAAUUCAAGGUGCAGUCUCAUCAGGGCAGCAUGCAAGGGGAUGAUCACUUCCCUAGUCCUACUGACCACACUAGUUCUAAUCCAGGCCAGAAUGCUAUUGGCCUUCUUGGUUACCUGGGCAUGCUGCUGGCUCAUGUUCAUAGAUGUUCUUCCAGACAAGAAUAGCCAAAUGUCAUAAUUUAGGAAGAGAGAUUUGAGAUGUUGUUGUCAUUGAUUAGUAAUUUUCAGUUCAGGGCCAAAAUACAUGAAGGAAAUAACUGUGAAUAAGUUGUCAGUGUUCUAACAUUUAUUACGGAUUGAAACUAAGACUGUUACUAGGUUUUGUGUGUAGAGUGAAUAGGAUUCAUCUCACCAGAAUUCAGGCAUGCAACAGAUGCAUAGCCCUUGCCUAGCCUUUGCGUACAAUCCAUGGAGGGGACUGCAUACAUCCCAAGGGUUAUCCAUCCAAUCCCUCUUAUCCUGAUUUGGGAAGCUAAGUUUGCAGAACACAGGCUAGCUAGAGCCUGAUCCCAAACAUUAUUUGUGCAUAUAUAAUUAUUCUCAUGUGUAGUUCCCCUAUUUUUGACAGUUAAUGACUAGACAGUUAAUUAUGUGAGUAACUAUUAUGCAGGAAUGGGCUCAAUUCUCAUUGUUUGUGUUACAGGGAGACUAAUUUGUCUCUUGAGAUGUCUGUUCCUCCUACAGAGAAACUACAGCGGGAGCAGAGGCUAGAACAGCUCAUAGGUAGACUUCUAACCUACACACACAGCUUAGGUAAAUCUCACCCAUCAUAUCUACCGCUAAUGUUACUAAUAUUGGGUAAUACCUGCUUUAUCUCUAAAGGUCUGUAGGUACUUAUCAGAUUUUAUGGAAUCUGAUUUCACAGCUGAUGGCAUAAGGUGUAACAGUUACUUAUGUAAUUAGUAGAUAGUCAUUAGCUUUUUUGAAAUCAGUGGAAUUCCACAUGGGAGCAAUUGCACGUGUGUAGGUAGGUUAGGCUGUUGUUGACUGGAGAUCUGUUAGGAAGCACUACAUAACAAACAGUCACAGUAAGCGAUGAUGGAAAAUUUAUCAUGUUCUAAUAUAUAGUGAUUCUUAUUCUGCAUUAGAUGUUCUGUUGGGAACUCUCCUACAUAAUAAUUGUUUUUAACAAAAACUGAAAAAAGUGUUUAAACAAAAAAAUCAAAAAUUCCUGUCCUUGAUUUCAGGACAGUCAUUUACUACUCAAGACCUUCAUUUUCAAAACUGAAUUCCCAUCUAAAGUGCUUCAACUCAAAAAAGCUGAAUGCCAGCAGUCUGCAUUUUGAACAGUUUCAGAAGUAUAGCACAGAUGAAGCCUUAGCGUUUACUACAGUAGAUAACACUCCUAUCAGUUUGCAGAAACAGAGCAAACUAGUGACCAACUCAAGCCAAAGAUUGAAGAUUUCCAUGAAAUCUACCAUAAAUGGCUACAAAGAGCAGAUAAUUUCUGUCUCUCCUUUCCACAAAACCCAGGCAAUACCAAAUACACAAGUAGGAUUUACAUCCUCCUCUUCUGCAGGAAUAAACCCUUCUGAACCAGUUUCCAAAACUGUGUCCACAGUGCAAGAAGAGUGUUUGAUUUAUUUGAAGGCAGAGAAACACCACAAGAAUGACUAAAGGAUUAGAGGAACAGGGUUGGGAAGUUAAGACAAGGUUAUUACAGACAUGGGGAUAUAUUCAUGACAUCAGCAUAUGCUGCGGCUCUUCCAGAACAGUUUCCAGUCUACACAAGACUGUAUAGAGCUAUCUGCAUGGUUUUAAGUGUGAUCAGCACUUGAGCUCUGUUUUGAGUUAAUAAUAUGGAAAACCUGCUGUGUGAUUCCUUGCUGUAAUGACCUGUUAGUAUACACAUGGGCUUUCAGGCUAUGAAAAUGACCCAUGAUUUAUAAAAUAUCCUCUUCCUGUUUGCAAUGAUGCAGAGAAAUACUGUCAUCUCUAACCCUUCAGCUUUCCCUGCACAGGGUCCUUGUUUGCUAUGUCUCCUACUGUUUGGAUUGAUGAUAAUGCACAGCAGUUUUCACUUGAACUAGUUCCAGUUGUAUCACUUCUGGAUGAAUUAUUACCCUUUCUUAGGGAAAAUUUUUGAGUUACAUCACUGUUGAUUUGAAUUACAAUAAAAUACAAAACAAUGAGCAGUCUGUGUAAUUUUGAUGAAAUUAUUGAACUUUGAUUUGGGGGAUUAAUUACCUGCAUUCACGGCAAGCUCUAUUUUUUGAUUCCCUAAAGCGAGGUUAAAUUAUGUCAGUAUUAUAGUCCUAAUCUUUUCCACAGAGGAGGCGAACUCUGAUUUGCUUUUGUUUUUCCCUAUGAUGACCAAUCCAGGUAUACAGAUAGAUAAGUACAGGAAGGUCAAGGUCUAGUCUCAUCUUGGUGAGAAUGUUCCUUGUUUUGUUUAAACAAAGCCAAGCUGUAAAGAAAGUAUGCCCUAGAUCUCUAUUUCAGAUCUAUUGUUAUCAAGACUCAUAUCAAGAAUUCAUUCCAUUCUGAAAUUAUAUCCCUUGAUCUUACAAUCUAGUUCAACUACUAGCAUGGUUUGGGUUCUAUCUACUAAAAUAGUGGGGGGUUUUUGUUGUUUUUGUUUGUUUGUUCUUUUUGUCUAGUAACAAAGCCCUGUCAUCCAAAAUUGUAUUUGUCUAUGAAUUUGUCUAUCACCUCACAGAUCAUGGUCCCUUAUGAAGAUCUUUUCAGCCAUCUACACAAACGCCUCUGAUUUUCUAGGACUUGCAGUGAUUUGUUUGUAUGUCCUAACUCUAUGCCUUAAGCAUGUCUUGGCAGCAACCACUCUUGUCCUUUUCCAGCGUAAUAUGGACAACUUCCCAUUUUGCAUAUCGACUUGAAGUGGUUUCUUGCCCAAUAGAUUGCUUUGUGUGGCAUGCCAAGGCACCUAAUUCUCUUCCUACAGUGUAAUGAGCCCAGGGGCCCAAGUUCAGGCUUUAGCUAGAAGGUAGCUAUGCAAGGCUCCACCAGACUGUAUUUCUCUGACGUUUGGAGUGAGCCCCUAAUGCCACUGAAAUCUCAGCAGUAUGCCAUCUGACCCUUCAAGGGAGUAGGUGUGUGAAAACAGAACAUAAAUCCUUUCAUCAGGCUUGCAGAGUUGGGAAUUGUAUCCCUUGUCUACAGGUUAUAGCACAAGUUUAAGUAGAGCAUGAUGGUAGCUCCCAUUUCUCAUUCAGAGCUUAGUUUAGUUUAGCUUUGUCUGAAAACAUUUGCAGUGGCUGUGCUGUCUGAUGAGCGUGCUGACAAAAAGCCGGAGACCGCAGAGGUACGUUGUCGUUGAUUCCUUUCUGCCACUGAGACAUUCCUGCUCAUCUCUUGCCCGGUGUCACAAGUGACUUAUUGGUCUUGCCUAUCACUGGAUUCAGCUGCUUCAGAACGAAUUCACGUAUGAGCUGUGCCACUGUAAAGUCAUCACGCCUUCCUAAAACCAAGUCUUUUUCAGAUAUUUUCCCCCAGAGAAAGAGGAAAGAAGAUGGAACAACCGAAAUGACAUUCGUGAGGUAAAAGAGCCAGCAGUUUUCCAGAUUUGAAAGGCAGUGCCUCUGGAUCCCGAUAAUUUGCAAUUGCUUUGUCAAGACACAGAAUUUUUCAAAAUCUUUGGCAGGGAAAACAUGCAUGUGACAUGUUGUUUCUCCUUGUGGAACAUUUUAAUGGCUAUGUUCAGCUCUCCCAGUGGGAUCUUACUUUCUUAGAGCAGGAAUUUGUCACCACUUACUUGAUUUGGAUGAACUUUCUGCCAAAAUCAACAAGGAAGGAAUUGGCGGGACGGACGUUAGCAAUAGGGAAAUUGUGACAUGUUUGAAGAGAACGCAUGCUCGGAGGAGGAGCUACUUCUGUUUCAAAAUGCAACUUCUUAUCUGCAAAACAAGCUUUACUCUUUCCUGCAGAUGUCUCGCCUCUGCCCUGCAGCAAUGCUAAGAUGUUUCAUCUUGUGAGAAGCCAAGGGAAAGAGAUCUUACUACAGUGAAAAUACCUAUUCACAUGCUAUUUAAACACCAGUCAUUCUAUUCAGCUGUACUAAAACAAGCGUUACAACCAGGUGGGACUGUAAUGAUUAGAAGUCUCAGCAGUUAUUACAGGGUUUGUUUUUCUACUGAAUCAACACAUGCUGCAGACUCUAAGCUGAAGGGAGGAAGGACAUACUUGUACAACAGCAGACAAAAAUAUCACUCAUUACCCUUCUGCUUAGUGGCCAGGAGUGACUUGGGACAGACAAGUCUGUCUUCCAGGAGAAAUCAGCAGUGCAAAACCUGAGUGGAUGAAAAAUCCCAGUUUUUAGCACACAAAGAUCAAACUUAAAGCAGUAGAGAUGCUAAGCAGUAUGCAGAGCACUUGUAUUUCUCAGAAAUUUAACUGAAGACAAGUGCCCAAGAGCCCAAGAACUGACUUCAGGUGGUGGUGAAGCUGGAGGGCAAGCAAUCUUCUUCUCCUCAGCUGUCCCUGAAACAACCCAACCAAAAUUAAUAGUGUUCCACGUCUUUCCAAGGCUGAAUAGUCACUCACACACAAAGAGGAAUAUGUAGGGGGCUUUUAAAAAAGCUGAUAACUAGGACAAGAAAACUUGAAUUGUUGAGCUAUGAGUGGAAUGUCCUCUUCUAAAAUGCCAAACAGCCGUGUGUUUUUUAGGUCAAAAGCUAACCAGACGAGCUAUGAGCUCUUGUUACUUCUUCUGUUCCUUCACAGUAAAAAUCCAGAGUGCUUUUAAAAUGCUGAGAACACAGCAGUAAUUGAAAAGAAUGGAUGCGAGGAAAGACUGUACUGAGUAAAUGUUAAAUAUUUUUAUAAAGCAAAAUGGGUGCUGAUGGUGGUCUUGCAUUUGCAGUCUCAGCCAGAAGCCAGUGUCCAAACAAGGAACACAAGAUCUGUUUUACCUCACCAUGUCGCAACCUCGGUCAUGGACUCGGAAAGCAGACAGCAGCUCCGGUGUGAAAUCAUGAGCCUCUUCUUGCGUCUGCCUCCAGAGCGACUACCUACGUCCCUCACACUGCACAGGCUGCAACAUCCCCGAAAACAAAGACCAGCAGAGUUAUCCAUCUUGCAGUACUCAGAAUGUAGCUCGUUAUCAAUUAUAAAUAUGCAUAUGUGGAUGUGCUUGAACACCUUUAUUCACCUGCAUAAAUCAACACAAGACACACAAUUGCCAAAUGUAUUCACCUAUAAUGAACACCUACCUGGAUACACGGCUGGUUUGAAACAAGACCAAGCAGGCGAUUAUGUAGAGCAAUAACCAGCCUGUGCAAAGCAGAACAGCCACAACCAUUUGGCCUACUUUUUCAGCCUGCAGAGGUGGUACCUGUUCUGUUCAUGUCUAUACGUUUCCUCUCUAUAUUUCUCUUCAUUGCUAUGUAUUGUGUUCCUUUGAAGAUUUAAUUAGAAACUUUGUGUUUCUGUUCUACCUCACUGGAAGGAUUCUCUAUUUAAAAUAAGUAUUU